UGGGGAAUCUUGCACAAUGGGGGCAACCCUGAUGCAGCGACGCCGCGUGAGCGAUGAAGCCCUUCGGGGCGUAAAGCUCUUUCGACCGGAACGAUAAUGACGGUACCGGGAGAAGAAGCUGCGGCUAACUACGUGCCAGCAGCCGCGGUAAUACGUAGGGUGCGAGCGUUAAUCGGAAUUACUGGGCGUAAAGGGUGCGCAGGCGGUCUUGCAAGUCAGAUGUGAAAGCCCCGGGCUUAACCUGGGAAUUGCGUUUGAAACUACAAGACUAGAGUGCAGCAGAGGGGAGUGGAAUUCCAUGUGUAGCAGUGAAAUGCGUAGAGAUGUGGAAGAACACCGAUGGCGAAGGCAGCUCCCUGAGUUGACACUGACGCUCAUGCACGAAAGCGUGGGGAGCAAACA
rnacentral:rRNA from 1 species